CUGAUCUGGGAAGAAAAGUAGGCUGAAGCAAGAAGAGGACAUAGGUUCGGUCUCCAGAAGCACCAUUAUUCAAGGAUCCCUCUCCCUUCAGUGUACAAGGAAGGGAAGCAAGGAAAGUCUUGCUGAAUUUCUUGCCUGGAACGUGUCUGCCUCUUAAUUCCACCUGUCCAGGUGCUCUGGAUCCUUUAGAGGCCUUGAAUAUUCCCGACUCCACUUAUACUUAUUGUCUGUAUCAGCAGAGGGAAAAGAAUACAAACCACAAAGAAGAAAUAUGUGCUUAUUAUUAAAAUUUCGAACAUUGCCCAAGUAUAGAAAGUGAAUUAAGUGUCACCCUUAAUUCCAACAUUUGGAAUGUAUCCUUUCAUUCUGUGAGUAUAUACAGAUCAUUACAAAUAUAGUUUUUCCACAAAAGGGCAUAUUACUCUGUAAUAUACUUUUUCCUUUUAACAAAUACAUCGUGGACGGCUCCUCUUGAUUAGUGCCUAGUGGUCUACCUUAUUAUUUCCAAAGAGCGUGGCCAUUUAAAAUUAAAUUUGUUGUUAAUCUUCAUACUUCUUGUCAGAAGAGCUCAGUUGGGAUCAGCUGAAGAAAGUGAUGUCAUUUUAGGCC
rnacentral:lncRNA from 1 species